rnacentral:rRNA from 1 species
ACUCCUACGGGAGGCAGCAGUGGGGAAUAUUGCGCAAUGGCCGAAAGGUUGACGCAGCGACGCCGCGUGUGGGAUGAAGCCCUUCGGGGUGUAAACCACUGUCAGGGGGGAAGAACAGCGAUUACGUGAACAUCGUAGUCGUAUGACGGUACCCCCAGAGGAAGCACCGGCUAACUCCGUGCCAGCAGCCGCGGUAAU